GACAGAGGUGCCGAGCGUUAGGCGGAAUCACUGGGCUUAAAGCGUGUGUAGGCGGGCGGGCAAGUACCUUGUGAAAUCCCACGGCUCAACCGUGGAACGGCUGGGUAUACUGCCUGUCUUGAGCCAACUAGGGGCGAGCGGAACAGACGGUGGAGCGGUGAAAUGCGUAGAUAUCGCUUGGAACGCCAACGGUGAAAACAGGUUGCUGGGGUUGUGCCGACGCUGAGACACGAAAGCCAGGGGAGCAAACGGG
rnacentral:rRNA from 1 species